rnacentral:rRNA from 1 species
GACGAACGCUGGCGGCGCGCCUAACACAUGCAAGUCGAACGGAGCUUAGAGAGCUUGCUUUUUAAGCUUAGUGGCGAACGGGUGAGUAACGCGUGAGUAACCUGCCCUAGAGUGGGGGACAACAGUUGGAAACGACUGCUAAUACCGCAUAAGCCCACGGUGCCGCAUGACACUGAGGGAAAAGGAUUUAUUCGCUUUAGGAUGGACUCGCGUCCAAUUAGCUAGUUGGUGAGGUAACGGCCCACCAAGGCGACGAUUGGUAGCCGGACUGAGAGGUUGAACGGCCACAUUGGGACUGAGACACGGCCCAGACUCCUACGGGAGGCAGCAGUGGGGGAUAUUGCACAAUGGGGGAAACCCUGAUGCAGCGACGCCGCGUGGAGGAAGAAGGUUUUCGGAUUGUAAACUCCUGUCGUUAGGGACGAUAAUGACGGUACCUAACAAGAAAGCACCGGCUAACUACGUGCCAGCAGCCGCGGUAAAACGUAGGGUGCAAGCGUUGUCCGGAAUUACUGGGUGUAAAGGGAGCGCAGGCGGGAAGACAAGUUGGAAGUGAAAACCAUGGGCUCAACCCAUGAAUUGCUUUCAAAACUGUUUUUCUUGAGUAGUGCAGAGGUAGAUGGAAUUCCCGGUGUAGCGGUGGAAUGCGUAGAUAUCGGGAGGAACACCAGUGGCGAAGGCGGUCUACUGGGCACCAACUGACGCUGAGGCUCGAAAGCAUGGGUAGCAAACAGGAGUAGAUACCCUGGUAGUCCAUGCCGUAAACGAUGAUUACUAGGUGUGGGGGAUGGACCCCCUCAGUGCCGCAGUUAACACAAUAAGUAAUCCACCUGGGGAGUACGACCGCAAGGUUGAAACUCAAAGGAAUUGACGGGGGCCCGCACAAGCAGUGGAGUAUGUGGUUUAAUUCGAAGCGACGCGAAGAACCUUACCAGGUCUUGACAUCCGAUGCAUAGCACAGAGAUGUGUGAAAUCCUUCGGGACAUCGAGACAGGUGGUGCAUGGUUGUCGUCAGCUCGUGUCGUGAGAUGUUGGGUUAAGUCCCGCAACGAGCGCAACCCUUAUUGCCAGUUACUACGUUAAGAGGACUCUGGCGAGACUGCCGUUGACAAAACGGAGGAAGGUGGGGAUGACGUCAAAUCAUCAUGCCCUUUAUGACCUGGGCUACACACGUACUACAAUGGCGUUAAACAAAGAGAAGCAAGACCGCGAGGUGGAGCAAAACUCAAAAACAACGUCUCAGUUCAGAUUGCAGGCUGCAACUCGCCUGCAUGAAGUCGGAAUUGCUAGUAAUCGCGGAUCAGCAUGCCGCGGUGAAUAAGUUCCCGGGCCUUGCAC